CAGGACGUAGCCCGGUUAUCGCGCCACGUUUGGGACGUGGAGGCCGCAGGUUCGAAUCCUGCCACCCCGA
rnacentral:tRNA from 1 species